rnacentral:rRNA from 1 species
UACGUAGGGUGCAAGCGUUGUCCGGAAUUAUUGGGCGUAAAGAGCUUGUAGGCGGUUUGUCGCGUCUGCUGUGAAAUUUCGGGGCUCAACCCCGAACUUGCAGUGGGUACGGGUAGACUAGAGUGUGGUAGGGGAGACUGGAAUUCCUGGUGUAGCGGUGAAAUGCGCAGAUAUCAGGAGGAACACCGGUGGCGAAGGCGGGUCUCUGGGCCGAUAUCGACGCUGAGGAGCGAAAGCGUGGGGAGCGAACAGG